AACGAACGCUGGCGGCAGGCUUAACACAUGCAAGUCGAACGCCCCGCAAGGGGAGUGGCAGACGGGUGAGUAACGCGUGGGAACAUACCCUUUCCUGCGGAAUAGCUCCGGGAAACUGGAAUUAAUACCGCAUACGCCCUACGGGGGAAAGAUUUAUCGGGGAAGGAUUGGCCCGCGUUGGAUUAGCUAGUUGGUGGGGUAAAGGCCUACCAAGGCGACGAUCCAUAGCUGGUCUGAGAGGAUGAUCAGCCACAUUGGGACUGAGACACGGCCCAAACUCCUACGGGAGGCAGCAGUGGGGAAUAUUGGACACUGGGCGCAAGCCUGAUCCAGCCAUGCCGCGUGAGUGAUGAAGGCCUUAGGGUUGUAAAGCUCUUUCACCGAUGAAGAUAAUGACGGUAGUCGGAGAAGAAGCCCCGGCUAACUUCGUG
rnacentral:rRNA from 1 species